rnacentral:rRNA from 1 species
GAUGAACGCUGGCGGCGUGCCUAAUACAUGCAAGUCGAGCGAACGGACGAGAAGCUUGCUUCUCUGAUGUUAGCGGCGGACGGGUGAGUAACACGUGGAUAACCUACCUAUAAGACUGGGAUAACUUCGGGAAACCGGAGCUAAUACCGGAUAAUAUUUUUAACCGCAUGGUUCAAAAGUGAAAGACGGUCUUGCUGUCACUUAUAGAUGGAUCCGCGCUGCAUUAGCUAGUUGGUAAGGUAACGGCUUACCAAGGCAACGAUGCAUAGCCGACCUGAGAGGGUGAUCGGCCACACUGGAACUGAGACACGGUCCAGACUCCUACGGGAGGCAGCAGUAGGGAAUCUUCCGCAAUGGGCGAAAGACUGACGGAGCAACGCCGCGUGAGUGAUGAAGGUCUUCGGAUCGUAAAACUCUGUUAUUAGGGAAGAACAUAUGUGUAAGUAACUGUGCACAUCUUGACGGUACCUAAUCAGAAAGCCACGGCUAACUACGUG